rnacentral:rRNA from 1 species
UACGAGGGGGGGCAAGCGUUGUUCGGAAUUAUUGGGCGUAAAGGGCGCGUAGGCGGUUUGGCAAGUCUAGUGUGAAAUCUUCGGGCUCAACUCGAAGUCUGCACUGGAAACUGCCGGGCUUGAGUAUGGGAGAGGUGAGUGGAAUUUCCGGUGUAGCGGUGAAAUGCGUAGAUAUCGGAAGGAACACCUGUGGCGAAAAGCGGCUCACUGGACCAUAACUGACGCUGAGGCGCGAAAGCUAGGGGAGCAAACAGG